GACGAACGCUGGCGGCGUGCUUAACACAUGCAAGUCGAGCGGAGCGGCGAACGGGUGAGUAACGCGUGAGUAACUGCCCCCCUCUCUGGGAUAACAGUUAGAAACGGUUGCUAAUACCGGAUAGUGGGGGAUGACUCGCGUCCUAUCAGCUUGUGGGUGGGGUAGUGGCCUAACAAGGCGAGGACGGGUAGCCGGCCUGAGAGGGCGACCGGCCACAGUGGGCUGAGAUACGGGCCAAACGCAUCCGGGAGGCAGCAGUGGGGAAUAUUGCACAAUGGGGGAAACCCUGAUGCAGCAACGCGCGUGCGGGAUGACGGCCUUCGGGUUGUAAACAGCUUUCAGCCAGGACGCGGUAGUGGCAGAAGAAGCACCGGCUAACUACGUGCCAGCAGCCGCGGUAAUAC
rnacentral:rRNA from 1 species